CCUCCGGUAGCUCAGUCGGAAGAGCAUACAGAGUACAAUUCUGUAGACGCUGGUUCGAGUCCAGCCCGGGGGG
rnacentral:tRNA from 1 species